rnacentral:tRNA from 1 species
GGGGAUGUAACUCAGAGGCUAGAGUAAAUGACUGUUAAUCAUUAAGUCGAGAUAUCGUAAUUCUCCAUCCCCU